UCAAGUUGAGAGUUUGAUCCUGGCUCAGAGCGAACGCUGGCGGCGUGCUUAACACAUGCAAGUCGAA
rnacentral:rRNA from 1 species